GAUGGUGCGCAGUCAGUUCAUUCGCACCAUUUUCUGUUAAUAGCUAGGGUCUCCAUUUAAUAGGUGCUCUAUGGCAUAUGUUGUUCAAAAUCAGUGGAAAAAGAAGGCUCAGUUGAGAACUAGACUAAUUAUGAGGUCGAUGAAAUGAUUACAUAUAGCACUCGCUUUACCUUUUGUAUAGGAUGUCUAUUGACUUAUAUUUGCUUGCUUAUGACUGAUUAGUUAAAGUAUAGUACAAAAAUAAAACGAGAUAUAUACACAUGGGAAUAAGUUAUUGCAUAAUGAAACUAAGGAGGGAUAAGGCUAAAAUAUAGAUAAAGUUUCUUCAAAUUUUGCAGAACAAUAAUAUUGAGCUUCAUAUCAAGACCUGGGAAUGGAUGGAUAUGCGGAAGCCGCUCUGACCACGGCAACCAUACGAUGACAUUUAUUCAGUAGCUCUAUGUUACACCACAUUAUGCGUACUGUACUGCAUGGAUUUAAAUAUUUGGCAAAUAUUUGAUUUACGUGGGGUGAGGGAUAUAUGGUAACCAUAUAAGGGAAGAGGGGAUGAGUUGGGAUAGCUAGGUGUUUUCUUUUUUCUUCUUUCCUAGUUAUUUUAUUAAUCCUUUUAUGUCCUUUGAAAUACAAUGGCACACAUACAUAUUCAACCUCUUACUUUCUUAAAGGUAAUAACAGUAACAUAACAAGACUCCAUAUGAUAAGGUGCCAACCUUAGGAAUGAUAGUCAACUGUUGAAUGCAGAAAUGCUGAACUUCAUCGAGACAACAGGAACUUCUAAGCUUCUAUUGAAAGCUCAAAAUACCAAAGCGUCAUGAUAUCGGCUUACCUUCUAAAACUUAAUUGGAGUAACAUAACAAGGCUCCAUAUGAUUAGGUGCCAAAACCUUAGGCAUAUGAUAGUCCGGUUGAAUGGCAGAAAUGCGGAACUUGGUCGAGAUGACAUGAACUUCGUUCUAAGCUUCUAUUGAAAGCCCCAAAUCUCAAAGUGUCAUGAGAUCCCCAUACUUCUAGGUCACGGUUUUUGGCUUUGGGCUGGUGGAUUAAUACAUAUACAGCUGAAACGUGUGGCCAAGCCAUGCCCGUACGAUUCAUUCUCAUAUAUAUGUUUCUGUGCAUCUUCAAUAUACUUUCCAAUAACACAUUGCCAUGUUAGUAUCCCCACUUUUAUUAUUUUUACCAAACAUAUGCCUAGCUUGGAAUAAGAGGAAUCAGCAAAUUAACCAGCACAUGUUGGUCAAAGGAAGCUUUGUGUUGUGCCGCUCGCAGCUUACUGCAGCGCAUUCAUCGCAAACAACUGGAUUCUGUGCUGUUCAAUUAUCGAGCCGAAUACAAUUAACCAAGAUGGGUACGUUGGCGACAACUAGGAGAGGGCGUAGAGGCUGGCCUGACGAUAAUGAACUAGCAGGAGCGGUACUAACCGGGAUACGGCUUGCUGCACGGUGCAACCGUUUAGUUACUAAGUAUAUACUGAGUUGAUACGGCUACAACAAAAAAGUGUUUGAAACUCCUGAUUUCUUAUACAAAAUAGUUUCAGUGCGAUGACAGUUCUUCUUGACACGCACUCGUGCCGUACAUGAAACAUGCAACGUGUGCUCGAUGAUAAGCGCGACAUGCAAGACGCACCGCCCACACCCUAGGACUUAGGGCGGAC
rnacentral:lncRNA from 1 species